AGUGAAAAAGUUUCUGGUGGAAAAUAUGUAACCAUAUCUCUGAUUAUACCCAUGGCAUAUGGGCUUCUGCGGAAAAUCGAAAAAUUCUUGCCAGAAACUAUGCAAGGAAAAACAAUCCAAAAUAUAUUAAUGGAAUCAAUAAAGAAACGACUCUCAAUUUAUGAACAAAGAAAUGUAUGUAUGAUGGCAACAUUAUUGGACCCACGUUUUAAAAAAAAUGGUUUUCAAGACGCUUCAAACGCUGAACAAGCAUCAACCUUUUUGAAAACGAACUGGCCCAUUCGUCAAUCGAAGAGUCCAGAAAGGAUCUGACCAUCGCAGCGGACACAAGUACCCAGGACACAUUUUUUGAUUUUUUGGGUGAACGAUCAGAUAGCAAAAUCGGAAACGCACGAGUGGAUGCUAUACUUAUUAAAAGGCAAUAUCUGGAGAGGGCAAUUGUCAGUCACGAUGUGGACCCACUGUUAUGGAUUAAGGUUAAUCAAACUGAUCUUCCCUGCAUAAAGGGCCUCUUUUGCAAAUACCUUUGCAUUCCCGCAACAUCCGUAGAAUCGGAAAGAGCUUUUAGCAAGGCAGGGCAAAUUGUUUCCGAGAGACGCACCCGGCUCAAAGAGAAAAACAUUAACAUCCUGUUAUUUUUGAAUCAAAACUUUUGGUUAAAAUAAACCAUUUUUCUUAAAAACUUAAAAAAAAAA